GAUGAACGCUGGCGGCGUGCCUAAUACAUGCCAGUCGAGCGAACAGACGAGGAGCUUGCUCCUCUGACGUUAGCGGCGGACGGGUGAGUAACACGUGGAUAACCUACCUAUAAGACUGGGAUAACUUCGGGAAACCGGAGCUAAUACCGGAUAAUAUAUUGAACCGCAUGGUUCAAUAGUGAAAGACGGUUUUGCUGUCACUUAUAGAUGGAUCCGCGCCGCAUUAGCUAGUUGGUAAGGUAACGGCUUACCAAGGCAACGAUGCGUAGCCGACCUGAGAGGGUGAUCGGCCACACUGGAACUGAGACACGGUCCCGACUCCUACGGGAGGCAGCAGUAGGGAAUCUUCCGCAAUGGGCGAAAGCCUGACGGAGCAACGCCGCGUGAGUGAUGAAGGUCUUCGGAUCGUAAAACUCUGUUAUUAGGGAAGAACAAAUGUGUAAGUAACUAUGCACGUCUUGACGGUACCUAAUCAGAAAGCCACGGCUAACUACGUG
rnacentral:rRNA from 1 species